rnacentral:rRNA from 1 species
GAGGAAUAUUGGUCAAUGGACGAGAGUCUGAACCAGCCACGUCGCGUGAAGGAAGACGGCCCUACGGGUUGUAAACUUCUUUUGUAAGGGAAUAAAGUGAGUCACGUGUGACUUUUUGCAUGUACCUUACGAAUAAGGAUCGGCUAACUCCGUGCCAGCAGCCGCGGUAAUACGGAGGAUCCGAGCGUUAUCCGGAUUUAUUGGGUUUAAAGGGUGCGCAGGCGGGAGAUUAAGUCGGCGGUGAAAUUUUGCAGCUUAACUGUAAAAGUGCCUUCGAAACUGGUUUUCUUGAGUGUGGAUGAAGUAGGCGGAAUUUGUGGUGUAGCGGUGAAAUGCAUAGAUAUCACGAGGAACUCCGAUUGCGCAGGCAGCUUACUAAGCCAUAACUGACGCUCAGGCACGAAGGCGUGGGGAUCAAACA